GAUGAACGCUGGCGGCGUGCCUAAUACAUGCAAGUCGAGCGCUGAAGGUUGGUACUUGUACCGAUUGGAUGAGCAGCGGACGGGUGAGUAACGCGUGGGUAACCUGCCUUUGAGAGGGGGAUAACAUCUGGAAACGAAUGCUAAUACCGCAUAAAAACUUUAAACACAAGUUUCAAGAUUGAAAGAUGCAAUUGCUUCACCCAAAGCUGAUCCCCCGUUGUCUUAGCUAGUUGGUGAGGUAAACGCCUACCCAGGCGAUGUUACCGAGCCCAGCCUGGAGGGGGAGCGGCCACAAUUGGACUUGGACACGGCCCCAACCCCUACGGGGGGGAGCAGGAGGGAAACUUUGGGAAAGGACGAAAGGCUGACCGAGCAACGCCGCGGGAGGGAAGAAAGGUUUCGGGUCGUAAAACUCCGUUGAUAGGGAAAAACGUUGGUGAGAGUUAAAAGCUCAUCAAGUGACGGUAACUACUCAGAAAGGGACGGCUAACUACGUG
rnacentral:rRNA from 1 species